UACGUAGGUGGCGAGCGUUAUCCGGAAUGAUUGGGCGUAAAGGGUGCGUAGGCGGAUUGAUAAGUUAGAGGUGAAAUGUCCGAGCUCAACUCGGGAACUGCCUCUAAUACUGUUGAUCUAGAGAGUAGAUGCGGUAGGCGGAAUGUAUGGUGUAGCGGUGAAAUGCUUAGAGAUCAUACAGAACACCGAUUGCGAAGGCAGCUUACCAAUCUAUAUCUGACGUUGAGGCACGAAAGCGUGGGGAGCAAACAGG
rnacentral:rRNA from 1 species